GGGCUCGUAGGUGGUUGAUCGCGUCGGAAGUGUAAUCUUGGGGCUUAACCCUGAGCGUGCUUUCGAUACGGGUUGACUUGAGGAAGGUAGGGGAGAAUGGAAUUCCUGGUGGAGCGGUGGAAUGCGCAGAUAUCAGGAGGAACACCAGUGGCGAAGGCGGUUCUCUGGGCCUUUCCUGACGCUGAGGAGCGAAAGCGUGGGGAGCGAACAGGCUUAGAUACCCUGGUAGUCCACGCUGUAAACGGUGGGUACUAGGUGUGGGGUCCAUUCCACGGGUUCCGCGCCGUAGCUAACGCUUUAAGUACCCCGCCUGGGGAGUACGGCCGCAAGGCUAAAACUCAAAGGAAUUGACGGGGCCCCGCACAAGCGGCGGAGCAUGCGGAUUAAUUCGAUGCAACGCGUAGAACCUUACCUGGGUUUGACAUGGAUCGGGAGUGCUCAGAGAUGGGUGUGCCUCUUUUGGGGUCGGUUCACAGGUGGUGCAUGGCUGUCGUCAGCUCGUGUCGUGAGAUGUUGGGUUAAGUCCCGCAACGAGCGCAACCCUCGCUGUUAGUUGCUACCAGGUUUGGCUGGGCACUCUAACAGGACCGCCGGUGGUAAGCCGGAGGAAGGUGGGGAUGACGUCAAGUCAUCAUGCCCCUUAUGUCCAGGGCUUCACGCAUGCUACAAUGGCUGGUACAGAGAGUGGCGAGCCUGUGAGGGUGAGCGAAUCUCGGAAAGCCGGUCUCAGUUCGGAUUGGGGUCUGCAACUCGACCUCAUGAAGUCGGAGUCGCUAGUAAUCGCAGAUCAGCAACGCUGCGGUGAAUACGUUCCCGGGGCUUGUACACACCGCCC
rnacentral:rRNA from 1 species